GUUCAAAAACAUCUUUCACAUACACACUUUUUAUGAGGGGAAUAUACCAUCAGGUGAAAGGUGUUUGCAAGUAAUAGUGAUAGUUUUAUAAUUU